UACGUAGGGUGCGAGCGUUGCCCGGAUUUAUUGGGCGUAAAGAGCUCGUAGGCGGUCUGUCGCGUCUGCUGUGAAAACUCGGGGCUUAACCCCGGGCCUGCAGUGGGUACGGGCAGACUAGAGUGCGGUAGGGGAGACUGGAAUUCCUGGUGUAGCGGUGAAAUGCGCAGAUAUCAGGAGGAACACCGGUGGCGAAGGCGGGUCUCUGGGCCGGUACUGACGCUGAGACGCGAAAGCGUGGGGAGCGAACAGG
rnacentral:rRNA from 1 species